rnacentral:rRNA from 1 species
AUUGAACGCUGGCGGCAGGCUUAACACAUGCAAGUCGAGCGAGUGGCGGACGGGUGAGUAAUGUAUGAGGAUCCGUCCGGUAGGGGGGGAAAACCACUGGAAACGAGCUCCUAUAACGCAUACUCUGGGAUGAACCCAUCGGGGAAUAGCUAGUUGGUGGGGUAAAGGCUCACCUAGGCGACGACCUCUAGCUGGUCCGAGAGGAAGAACAGCCACACUGGGACUGAGACACGGCCCAGACGCCUACGGGAGGCAGCAGUGGGGAAUAUUGCACAAUGGGCGCAAGCCUGAUGCAGCCAUGCCGCGUGUAUGAAGAAGGCCUUAGGGUUGUAAAGUACUUUCAGCGGGGAGGCGUUACCCGCAGAAGAAGCACCGGCUAACUCCGUGCCAGCAGCCGCGGUAAUUC